rnacentral:rRNA from 1 species
CCUACGGGUGGCUGCAGUGGGGAAUAUUGGACAAUGGGGGGAACCCUGAUCCAGCCAUGCCGCGUGUGUGAAGAAGGCCCUCGGGUUGUAAAGCACUUUCAGUGAGGAAGAACGCCUGGUGGUUAAUACCCAUCAGGAAAGACAUCACUCACAGAAGAAGCACCGGCUAACUCCGUGCCAGCAGCCGCGGUAAUACGGAGGGUGCGAGCGUUAAUCGGAAUUACUGGGCGUAAAGCGCGCGUAGGUGGCUUGAUAAGCCGGUUGUGAAAGCCCCGGGCUCAACCUGGGAACGGCAUCCGGAACUGUCAAGCUAGAGUGCAGGAGAGGAAGGUAGAAUUCCCGGUGUAGCGGUGAAAUGCGUAGAGAUCGGGAGGAAUAUCAGUGGCGAAGGCGGCCUUCUGGACUGACACUGACACUGAGGUGCGAAAGCGUGGGUAGCAAACAGGAUUAGAUACCCGUGUAGUC